GGUGACGUGUCUGAGCGGCCUAAAGAGCACGCCUCGAAAGCGUGUGAGGGGUUCCCCCUCCGUGGGUUCAAAUCCCACCGUCACCG
rnacentral:tRNA from 1 species